CCUACGGGAGGCAGCAGUGGGGAAUUUUCCGCAAUGGGCGAAAGCCUGACGGAGCAACGCCGCGUGAGGGAUGAAGGCCUCUGGGCUGUAAACCUCUUUUAUCAAGGAAGAAGAUCUGACGGUACUUGAUGAAUAAGCCACGGCUAAUUCCGUGCCAGCAGCCGCGGUAAUACGGGAGUGGCAAGCGUUAUCCGGAAUUAUUGGGCGUAAAGCGUCCGCAGGCGGUCUUGUAAGUCUGUCGUUAAAGCGUGGAGCUCAACUCCAUUUCGGCGGUGGAAACUACAAGACUAGAGUGUGGUAGGGGCAGAGGGAAUUCCCGGUGUAGCGGUGAAAUGCGUAGAUAUCGGGAAGAACACCAGUGGCGAAGGCGCUCUGCUGGGCCAUAACUGACGCUCAUGGACGAAAGCUAGGGGAGCGAAAGGGAUUAGAUACCCCUGUAGUCCUAGCCGUAAACGAUGAACACUAGGUGUCGGGGGAAUCGACCCCUCGGUGUCGUAGCUAACGCGUUAAGUGUUCCGCCUGGGGAGUACGCACGCAAGUGUGAAACUCAAAUGAAUUGACGG
rnacentral:rRNA from 1 species